UUUGUUGCAGGGAACGAGACGUUCGAGAAGCUUGGCACGAUCGGGACGUUGUCCAACUACCUGACUACUGUGUAUCACAUGCAGAGCGUCAACGCCGCCACCCUCCUCAACGUCUUCUCUGACACCAGCAACCUCGCCACCGUCCUCGGCGCCUUCGUCAGCGACACCUACCUAGGCCGCUACACCACCAUUGCCAUCUCCAUCGUCGCCUCCUUCCUCGGCAUGCUCCUGCUCACCCUCACCGCCGCCCUCCCCUCCCUCCACCCUCCCACCUGCAACGCAUCCAAAAGGGCAACCAUGUCAGGGCCAUCCGCCUCCCACUUCGCAGCUCUCAUGGCCUCCUUCUUCUUCUUGGUCGUCGGCGCCAGCGGCGUUCGACCCUGCAGCCUUGCCUUUGGGGCAGACCAGUUUGACCCGCGCACCGCGGACGGACGGCGCGGCAUCGCCAGCUUCUUCAACUGGUACUACUUUACUUUCACCAUCGCCAUCAUGCUCUCUGCCACCGCCAUCAUCUACCUCCAGAGCAACGUCAACUGGGCGCUGGGGCUAGCCGUCCCCGCCGUGCUCAUGGGCAUCUCAUGUGCCGUCCUCUUCAUCGGAACGCAUCUCUAUGUUCGUGUCCGCCCCGAGGGCAGCCCCUUAACUAGUUUUGCACAAGUCCUCGUCGCCGCCAUCCGCAAGCGCCACCUCCGGCGAGCUCGUAGCAUCGCCGAGUUGUUCGACCCACCGCACCGAAGCAAGCUCGUCUCCAAGCUGGCCUACACCAACCAGUUCACUUGCCUCGACAAGGCGGCCAUGCGGACCUCUGAGGACGCGCUCUACUCUGACGAGAAGACGCCGGUGAACCCAUGGAAGUUGUGCACGAUACAACAGCUGGAGGAGGUGAAGUGCCUAGCGCGCAUCAUCCCGGUGUGGUCGUCGGGGAUCGUCUACUUCGUGGUGCUCACCCAGCUAGGCACCUACGUCGUACUCCAAGCAGCACAGACCGACCGUCGGAUCAGCAGCGCCAACAGCUUCCAGAUCCCGCAGGGCUCCUUCAUCGUCUUCUCCAUGCUCUCCCUCACGCUGUGGAUACCCGUGUACGACCGGCUGGUGGUGCCGGCACUCCGCUGCUUCACCAAGCAUGAGGGCGGCAUCACCCUGCUCCAGCGCAUAGGCGUCGGGCUGGCGCUUUCUGUCGCGACGAUGCUGGUGUCAGCGGCCCUGGAGCACCGGCGGCGGCGCCGCACCACCAUGAUGCCGUGCCUCUGGCUGGUGCCACAACUGCUGCUGGCGGGCUUCUCGGAGGCGUUCGCCGGCAUCGGGCAGCUCGAGUUCUUCUACCGGCGGUUCCCGGAGAACAUGUGGAGCGUGGCGGGUGCCCUCUACUGCCUGGGGUUCGCCCUGGCGAGCUACGCGAGCGGGGUCAUGGUCACCUUGGUGCACCAGGCGACGAGGUGGCUGGUACAGGACCUGGACCAGGGGAGGGUCGACCUUUUCUACCUCGUCACAGCCGCAAUCGCCGCCGUUAACCUCGUAUAUUUCAUUGUCGGCGCGCGCUGGUACAGGUCCAAGGAGUCUGAUGACGACAAUGACGGUUCACACGCCAACGUCGAUGGCAUCGAGCUCGUCGACGGCAGCCCGAAGAAGUCCGUGAGUGCGGCGCCGGUUUAG
rnacentral:rRNA from 1 species